rnacentral:lncRNA from 1 species
GCGAACAAGUGAAGCAAAUAAAGGUUCGGCUAUGCGAACAUACAAGAGAUUGGAAAUAGAGCGUUAUUUAAAAGACGGGAUGUCCCUCAUCGUACACUUCGGACUAUGAAAAUCUUGUUGACGAGCAGAACACUUCAACUCCUUGACCAGCAAGAUCGAGGAUCGGUAUCAUGCAGUCCGGAAUUCGAGCAAAGUCAGAGAUU